AUUCCUUAAAAUUUAAGGAAUUGGGCGGUAAUUUGGUCUGGCCGGGGGACCCUGUCCAUUAAUCGAUAACCCUCGAAAUUUCUUACUUUUUUUAAAAUAUAAUAGUUUGUAUACCAUCAUUAUUAGAUAAUUUUAAUAGAGAAUAGAAUUAUUAAAAUUAAUAUUAUUGUAGAAAUUAGAUCAAGGUGCAGCUUAUAAAUAAGUUGGAAUGGGUUACAAUAAAAAUUUAUUUAAAAUGGAUUAAUUUUUGAAAAAUAAUUAUAAAGGAGGAUUU
rnacentral:rRNA from 1 species